rnacentral:rRNA from 1 species
UACGAAGGGGGCUAGCGUUGCUCGGAAUCACUGGGCGUAAAGCGCACGUAGGCGGAUUGUUAAGUCAGAGGUGAAAGCCUGGAGCUCAACUCCAGAACUGCCUUUGAUACUGGCAAUCUCGAGUCCGGAAGAGGUAAGUGGAACUGCGAGUGUAGAGGUGAAAUUCGUAGAUAUUCGCAAGAACACCAGUGGCGAAGGCGGCUUACUGGUCCGGUACUGACGCUGAGGUGCGAAAGCGUGGGGAGCAAACAGG